rnacentral:rRNA from 1 species
AUUGAACGCUGGCGGCAGGCCUAACACAUGCAAGUCGAGCGGAUGAAGGGAGCUUGCUCCUGGAUUCAGCGGCGGACGGGUGAGUAAUGCCUAGGAAUCUGCCUGGUAGUGGGGGAUAACGUCCGAAAACGGGCGCUAAUACCGCAUACGUCCUGAGGGAGAAAGUGGGGGAUCUUCGAACCUCACGCUAUCAGAUGAGCCUAGGUCGGAUUAGCUAGUUGGUGGGGUAAAGGCCUACCAAGGCGACGAUCCGUAACUGGUCUGAGAGGAUGAUCAGUCACACUGGAACUGAGACACGGUCCAGACUCCUACGGGAGGCAGCAGUGGGGAAUAUUGGACAAUGGGCGAAAGCCUGAUCCAGCCAUGCCGCGUGUGUGAAGAAGGUCUUCGGAUUGUAAAGCACUUUAAGUUGGGAGGAAGGGCAGUAAGUUAAUACCUUGCUGUUUUGACGUUACCAACAGAAUAAGCACCGGCUAACUUCGUG